UACGGAGGGUGCAAGCGUUGUUCGGAUUUACUGGGCGUAAAGGGCGCGUAGGCGGCCAGCGCAAGUCAGUUGUGAAAUCUCCGGGCUUAACUCGGAAAGGUCAACUGAUACUGUGCGACUAGAGUGCGGAAGGGGCAACUGGAAUUCUUGGUGUAGCGGUGAAAUGCGUAGAUAUCAAGAGGAACACCUGCGGCGAAGGCGGGUUGCUGGGCCGACACUGACGCUGAGGCGCGAAAGCUAGGGGAGCGAACGGG
rnacentral:rRNA from 1 species